rnacentral:rRNA from 1 species
CCUACGGGAGGCAGCAGUGAGGAAUAUUGGUCAAUGGGCGGAAGCCUGAACCAGCCAAGUCGCGUGAAGGAUGACAGCCCUAUGGGUUUUAAACUUCUUUUGUAAGGGAAUAAAGCGCGCUACGUGUGUCGUUUUGUAUGUACCUUGAAUAAGCAUCGGCUAAUUCCGUGCGAGCAGCCCCGGUAAUACGGAGGAUGCGAGGGUUAUCAGGAUGUAUUGGGUUUAAAGGGGGCGUAGGAGGUUCCAUAAGUCAUCGGGAAAAUCGUGGGCUUAAACCGUGCGGUGCCGUUGAAACUGUGGGACUUGAGUAUGCGAAGGGUACAUGGAAUUUGUGGUGUAGCGGUGAAAUGCUUAGAGAUCACGAAGAACUCCGAUCGCGAAGGCAUUGUACCGGAGCAAGACUGACGCUGAGGCUCGAAAGUGCGGGUAUCAAACAGGAUUAGAUACCCCGGUAGUC